rnacentral:rRNA from 1 species
GAUCCUGGCUCAGGACGAACGCUGGCGGCGUGCCUAACACAUGCAAGUCGAACGGAGAUAUGUUUUGGAAGGGCUUCGGUCUGGAAGAGAUAUAUUUUAGUGGCGGACGGGUGAGUAACGCGUGGGCAAUCUGCCUUGUAGAAAGGGAUAACAGGCCGAAAGGCUUGCUAAUACCGGAUGAGCUUGUCUAAUGCAUGAUAAGACAAGGAAAGGGGAAACCCGNUACAAGAUGAGCCUGCGU